rnacentral:rRNA from 1 species
GUCAUGGCUCAGGACGAACGCUGGCGGCGUGCCUAACACAUGCAAGUCGAACGGGGUUAAUCCUGACACCGAGUCCAGCGGAAGGACGGCUGGAUUGGGUGUUGGGGUUGACCUAGUGGCGGACGGGCGAGUAACGCGUGAGCAACCUGCCUUUCAGAGUGGAACAACGGCUGGAAACGGCCGCUAAUACCGCAUGACACAGCGAGGGCGCAUGUUUUUGCUGUCAAAGGAGCAAUCCGCUGAAAG